UUUCUCUUUUAUCUUCUCUCCUGUGGUAGUGUCUGGAGGUCGCAGCCGCCUGCAUCUCAUUGAUCUCGGAAGCUGUGUGAAAGCUCUUAGCAAAAAUCGAGAAGGAGGCUCAGGGCUGUGCCUCUCACUGUCUGCUCUGGGCAAUGUCAUCCUGGCUCUCGUCAAUGGCAGCAAACACAUUCCAUACAAAGAGAGCAAGCUCGCCAUGUUGCUGAGGGAGUCUCUGGGGAACAUGAACUGCCGUACCACCAUGAUCGCGCACAUCUCGGCCGCGGCCGGGAGCUACGCGGAGACCCUGUCCACCAUCCAGAUUGCAUCGAGAGUCUUGAGGAUGAAGAAAAAGAAGACGAAGUCCACAUCCAGCUCCUCCGGCGGGGAGAGCUCCUGCGAAGAAGGCCGUAUGCGCAGGCCCACCCAGCUGAGACCCUUCCACACCAGGGCCACGGUGGACCCCGAUUUCCCCAUCACUCACCUGUCCAGCGACCCCGACUACUCCUCUAGCAGCGAGCAGUCCUGCGACACUGUCAUCUACAUCGGGCCCAACGGCACGGCCCUCUCUGACAAGGAGCUCACCGACAACGAGGGCCCCCCAGACUUUGUCCCUAUCGUGCCAGCCCUGCAGAAGACCCGGGGUGACAGCCGGCCCGCAGAGGCAGGAGAGGCUGCAGCCAGCAAGUCAGAAAGGGACUGCCUGAAGUGCAACACGUUCGCCGAGCUGCAGGAGAGGCUGGACUGCAUCGACGGCAGCGAGGAGCCCAGCAGGUUUCCUUUCGAAGAACUGCCUGCUCAGUUCGGGCCGGAGCAGGCAAGCAGAGGCCCCCGGUUAAGCCAAGCAGCGGGGGCAAGCCCACUCUCUGAGUCUGAUAAGGAAGAUAAUGGGUCCGAAGGUCAGCUGACUGACAGAGAAGGCCCUGAACUGCCAGCCUCCAAGACGCAGAGGAGUCACUCACCUGUGCCCGCCACGGCACCCGCCCAUAGCCCCAGCCCGGCCUCACCCAGGAGCAUCCCGGGCAGCAGUAGCCAGCACAGCGCCUCCCCACUUGUGCAGAGCCCCAGCCUCCAGAGCAGCCGGGAGAGCCUCAACUCCUGCGGCUUCGUGGAAGGCAAGCCCAGGCCCAUGGGCUCCCCCCGGCUGGGCAUCGCCAGCCUGUCCAAGACCUCGGAGUACAAGCCACCCAGCUCUCCUUCCCAGAGAUGCAAAGUCUACACCCAGAAGGGGGUCCUGCCAUCUCCCGCCCCACUGCCUCCCUCGAGUAAGGAUUCCGGCGUGGUGUCUAGUGAGUCCUUGCUGCAGCCCGAGGUGCGUACGCCCCCGGUUGGAAUGAGCCCCCAGGUUUUGAAAAAAUCCAUGUCUGCUGGGAGCGAAGGCUUCCCGGAAACUCCUGUCGAUGAUGAGCAGCAGGCAGCUACUCCUUCAGAGUCCAAGAAGGAGAUCCUGAGCACCACGAUGGUGACGGUGCAGCAGCCGCUGGAGCUGAAUGGUGAGGACGAGCUGGUGUUCACGCUGGUGGAGGAGCUGACCAUCAGCGGGGUCCUGGACAGCGGCCGCCCCACCAGCAUCAUCAGCUUCAACAGCGACUGCUCUGUGCAGGCCCUGGCCUCGGGCUCGCGGCCCGUCAGCAUCAUCAGCAGCAUCAGCGAGGACCUGGAGUGCUACUCCAGCAUGGCCCCCGUCUCCGAGGUCAGCAUCACACAGUUUUUGCCCCUCCCGAAGAUGAGCCUGGAUGAGAAGGCCCAGGAGGCAGGGAGCAGACGCUCUUCCAUCAGCUCCUGGCUGAGCGAGAUGAGCGCCGGCAGUGAGGGCGAGCAGUCGUGCCACAGUUUCAUAGCCCAGACGUGUUUUGGGCACGGGGAGGCAAUGGCAGAACCUGUGGCCUCGGAUUUUGUCAGUAGCCUCCAGAACACCGCUGUGGUGUGCAGAGAGAAGCCCAAGGCCAGCCCCGACGACUUGCUCAUCCUGUCUGAGAUGGGAGAUGACUCCUUCAACAAAGCAACCCCCAUCAAAGGCUGCAAAAUAUCCACACUGAGCAAGGCCAUGGUCACCAUCUCCAACACGGCGAAUCUGAGCAGCUGCGAGGGGUACAUCCCCAUGAAGACCAAUAUCACGGUUUACCCCUGCAUUGCCAUGAGCCCCCGGAACAUCCAAGAGCCCGAGGCCCCCACUGCCACCCCCAAAGCAGGCUCCACAUUAGCCCAGUCCCAGGAGAGUAAGGAAAACAGUGCAAAGAAAGAGAUGAAAUUUGAGGACCCCUGGCUGAAACG
rnacentral:sRNA from 1 species